ACGGAUCGUCUGCCCGCCUGUAGUCGCUCUACGGCUUCAGUCCUGGAACCCUGGCCCGAAGUUAAAGCCCAAGCUUUGGAGUCCCACUACCAGGGAGGUUUCCAGUCACAGAGCGCGCAGCGAGCUCCGAGUGCCUGCGGCGGCGUAUCUAAAAUAAACUUGUUUAAAUGCCA